AAGUUUGGGUGAUUUUUAUAUUACCUGCCAUUUGCCAUCCCUAAUUGAGGUCAUCGGGCGUUUUAAAAAGGAGUUAAUAGAAGACCAAACGUCAGGGUGAUCCUCUAAUAUUCGCACCCUGCUCAGUCCCGCCUCAGCUGGCAGCAGAAAUGACCGAAGCUAAUCGGCAAAGCUUUCGUGAGACAAGGGUCGCAGUUUUGUGGCAAAUGUUCACUCCAAAAAGUUUAUCUAUGAAAAUUUCUUUGCCCGCAUGCAUUCUGCAGUAGAAAUGCCUUCUUGAAAGCAGAAACUCUCUGUGAAGGAACUGCCAAAGUAUGCUCUGCAGCGGAAAGAUUUUGGUGUUUUCACUUUUCACCAAUGUACUUUGGACCUGGCAUGAGCUUGCGUCUGAAAGGACGAUGAUCCAACACCCCUUCCCUGCAAAUAUGGUGAGAGAACUUUUUAAGUUGUAUGAAGUGGCCACUUUUCACUGUAGAUAUAAACUGUUGAUUGUGGUAAUGUUUCUACCCAAGGUGAAAAAUUGUCUCAGGGAAGUGGCACAAUAUGCUUCAGUAUAUAAUGAUGUUACAUGUGGCUACCAUAUGAAUCUCACACGCGCAUUAAACAAGGUGAUAUCGUUCGCUAGAUCUGCCAUAUACAACCUAUGAUCUAGUGUAAGGGUCUAGGUAUGGCUAAGAAUAAACUUUGGUAAAUGAUUGUCAUUAUCAAUUUUCUCACAGAUUUAAGAUGGCAAAAGUGGCAGUAAUCAGGAGCGUAGCUUUCUAUUGCAUCUCUUCUGCUUGUUUUAUUGGGGCUUUUUACUUCUUUUUUAGUUACAAGUUUGUCUCUUUUCCAUUCAUCAUUGAUGUGUGCUUGCAUUUUCCAUGUAAAAUGUGUUAUAGCAUGACAAAGGAAGACAUUUUUUUUUUCUUUUAAUCAAAGACAAAGGAAGACAUUGGCUUACAUGGAAACUUAAACUCAACAGUUGUUUGCCAAACAAACUUAGGAUAAGAUGGGGUUCAGAUAUAGGGCAAAACAAGAAUUUAAUCUUGUCUUUUAUCAAGAAUUCUUUGUGUCUUAGGAAGAUUGAGGUUCAGCAGUCGUUAGAAUUGAAAACCACAAAAAAAAGUGCAGCUCUGUUCCAAUCUGCACCUGCCUGAUUGAUUACUGUGGUUUAGAAAUUGAAAGAGAUAAGUACUUUACUUGGUCUCUGCACGUACGGCUCUUUACCCUUGAGUUUAAUUUCCAGUAGAACAGUACGAAUAUAAUGAUUGAAAAUGAAGUUACUUGUUUGGUUGAUAUGAAAUGUCCUCGUACUGAAGUUGUCAGGUUUAAUUUAAAAAGGUAGAAGCAUCUUCCUCUGUACAGUGAGAGAGAGUGCAAUUUCACGUGCCAAUAUAAAAACUUGGAAUGAUGAAAUGCUUGUAUUCCUGCUUGAUGUGAAACUAGUUGAACUUCAUAGGUCUAACAUUUCCAUGUCUUUGUUAAUUCAUAAGAUUAGAAGAAGAAUAGUCUAAGGGGUCACAUAUUUUUCAAUUUCAUACCUUGGCUGGGCAUUUACGUUAUACCAUUAUAAUUUCUAGGAAGCUACAAGGAGUGGAAAAAAAAAAAAAACUAAAUACAAGUAAUUCUAAUUCAUGAAUCUGGAAAUUGGGUGUGUUUUAUAUUAAUCUGUAGUAGUUGUAGCAGCAGCAGCCGACUUAACAGUAGCAUAGGACAAGGCAUUCAAAAAUUGUUAUUCAUGUCAUCGUUAUUAUAGAUGUAGCAAGUCUUUCCCUGAAGUCGUGGUUCCACUCUUCUAAGUCUUCGAGCAUGUCCCCUGUUUUAUUUUCUCAUCCGUGACUACAAAACAGAACAAGUCAAAAUGAUAAUUCAAAGUUGAUGUGGUAUUCGAUCGGUGUGUGUAAAGGAUUGACCCAUAAUUCAGUCCAAUUCACAAGGUUCAUAGUGCGAUGGCUAUUCAGGACCCACUCCAUUGAGGGCGACUCCUGCCAACUGAAGAAUCAGAGUUGUCGCCUACACUCUUUAAAAUGUCUUCAAACUCAGAUUUUGCUUUUUACUUACUUUUCAUUUGUUAUAUUAAUACUAUUUUUAAUCCUAAUGCUUAUAUGUUAUUUAGAUUAAAAUAUUAAUAAAUGAAAUUCAAACUUUA